rnacentral:rRNA from 1 species
AGUGAACGCUGGCGGUAGGCCUAACACAUGCAAGUCGAACGGCAGCACAGUAAGUGCUUGCUCUUACGGGUGGCGAGUGGCGGACGGGGGAGGAAUACAUCGGAAUCUACUUUUUCGUGGGGGAUAACGUAGGGAAACUUACGCUAAUACCGCAUACGACCUACGGGUGAAAGCAGGGGAUCUUCGGACCUUGCGCGAUUGAAUGAGCCGAUGUCGGAUUAGCUAGUUGGGGGGGUAAAGGCCCACCAAGGCGACGAUCCGUAGCUGGUCUGAGAGGAUGAUAGGCCAAACUGGAACUGGGACACGGUCCAGACUCCUACGGGAGGCAGCAGUGGGGAAUAUUGGACAAUGGGCGCAAGCCUGUUCCAGCCAUACCGCGUGGGUGAAGAAGGCCUUCGGGUGGUAAAGCCCUUUUGUUGGGAAAGAAAAGCAGCAGGUUAAUACCCCGCUGUUCUGACGGUACCCAAAGAAUAAGCACCGGCUAACUUCGU